rnacentral:lncRNA from 1 species
GUGAGUGUCGAUCUCCAAAGUCCAGAGUGAGUCAUCACCAGUAGGUACUGGGAAGAGCGUCAGCCUGCCUGUGUGCACAGUCUGCUGCCUUGGGCAGACCGGUGAGAGAGCCUUGCUGGGUUUUUUUGCUCCUGGUUUGUCCUGUGGUGUUUGGUAGAACGCCAUGACAUGAAUACCCUCAGCCUGCCCCUGAAUAUCCGCCGAGGAGGGUCAGACACCAACCUCAACUUCGACGUCCCAGAUGGUAUCCUGGAUUUCCACAAGGUCAAACUCAGCGCAGACAGCCUGAGACAGAAAAUCUUAAAGGUGACGGAGCAGAUAAAAAUCGAGCAGACGUCCCGAGAUGGGAACGUUGCCGAGUAUCUGAAACUGGUCAGCAGUGCUGACAAGCAGCA